GUAGCUCAGGUGGUUAGAGCGCACCCCUGAUAAGGGUGAGGUCGGUGGUUCAAGUCCACUC
rnacentral:tRNA from 3 species